GCUCAACCGGGGAGGGUCAUUGGAAACUGGGGAACUUGAGUGCAGAAGAGGAGAGUGGAAUUCCACGUGUAGCGGUGAAAUGCGUAGAGAUGUGGAGGAACACCAGUGGCGAAGGCGACUCUCUGGUCUGUAACUGACGCUGAGGCGCGAAAGCGUGGGGAGCGAACAGGAUUAGAUACCCUGGUAGUCCACGCCGUAAACGAUGAGUGCUAAGUGUUAGAGGGUUUCCGCCCUUUAGUGCUGCAGCAAACGCAUUAAGCACUCCGCCUGGGGAGUACGGUCGCAAGACUGAAACUCAAAGGAAUUGACGGGGGCCCGCACAAGCGGUGGAGCAUGUGGUUUAAUUCGAAGCAACGCGAAGAACCUUACCAGGUCUCGACAUCCUCUGACGACCCUAGAGAUAGGGCUUCCCCUUCGGGGGCAGAGUGACAGGUGGUGCAUGGUUGUCGUCAGCUCGUGUCGUGAGAUGUUGGGUUAAGUCCCGCAACGAGCGCAACCCUUGAUCUUAGUUGCCAGCAUUCAGUUGGGCACUCUAAGGUGACUGCCGGUGACAAACCGGAGGAAGGUGGGGAUGACGUCAAAUCAUCAUGCCCCUUAUGACCUGGGCUACACACGUGCUACAAUGGGCAGAACAAAG
rnacentral:rRNA from 1 species